GAUGAACGCUGGCGGCAGGCUUAACACAUGCAAGUCGAGCGGAGCGAGGGUGCUUGCACCUUAGCUUAGCGGCGGACGGGUGAGUAAUGCUUAGGAAUCUGCCUAUUAGUGGGGGACAACAUUCCGAAAGGAAUGCUAAUACCGCAUACGCCCUACGGGGGAAAGCAGGGGAUCUUCGGACCUUGCGCUAAUAGAUGAGCCUAAGUCGGAUUAGCUAGUUGGUGGGGUAAAGGCCUACCAAGGCGACGAUCUGUAGCGGGUCUGAGAGGAUGAUCCGCCACACUGGGACUGAGACACGGCCCAGACUCCUACGGGAGGCAGCAGUGGGGAAUAUUGGACAAUGGGCGGAAGCCUGAUCCAGCCAUGCCGCGUGUGUGAAGAAGGCCUUUUGGUUGUAAAGCACUUUAAGCGAGGAGGAGGCUACUUAGAUUAAUACUCUGGGAUAGUGGACGUUACUCGCAGAAUAAGCACCGGCUAACUCUGUGCCAGCCGCCGCCGUAA
rnacentral:rRNA from 1 species